AUAAGAUUAGAGAAGACGAAAAAGGCAAAAAUUAGAGAAGCAAGAAUAAGCAGCGUCCAUGGAGAACGGUGAAAUUCCUGAAAACGCCAACGAAAAUUGCCCUGGUACUCAAUCAGAAUUAGCCGGAAAAUCAGAUGCUUGCCAAGGAUGCCCUAACCAAGAAGCUUGUGCUUCUGCCCCUAAAGGCCCUGACCCUGGUUUCUCUCUUUCUCUCUCUAUGUAUUUUAAUUUGGGAGAAUUUUAGUUGCUGUUGUUUGCUCAUUAGAAAAUUGAUAUAGACAGAGCUACUACUUGCCAUACUCAAUGGUGCAGAAUUUUUAAGUAUUUUCAAUUGUUUUUAAUUACUUUAUUAUUGUUUAAAAUAUAUCAUUAGUUUUAGAUUAGAGAUGAAGAUUGCCACUUUAUUUUCUUCAGCAGCUCAUAUUAUCAGAAAAUUAUGAUAUUAUCCUAAUUUUGAUUCCUACUUCAUGAUUGUUUUAUAUUAAUAAUGGGGAAUUGAUAUCUCUGUUUCUGGGAUUAAUAUUCUUGGCAUUUAGUUAUAUUAGUUUUCUGUGCAGCUGGCUGACUGAGAUAUGGUUGUUUUCUUAUGUCUAAGAAUCCAAUUUUGCACUUGUUACUACUUACUAGGCUUUUUAAUAGCAUCUAACUGUAGAUUCUAAGUCAACAGAGCCGCCCUUUUUGGUGUCUUCAAUGUGCAUAGAACUUUGAUGUUCUUUUGGUUGUUGGGAUCGUUAGAUUUCAAUCCCUUGUAUACAGGGAAAGUUCAAAAUUUCAUGAUGGUAGGUAGCUGGUGCUCUUCAUUUGAGAUACCUGGAAAACUGAAAAAUUUGGUGUUGCAUUAUAUUGCCAAAGUAGUUUUCAUUCUAGGGUGAAGCCAUGUAGAACAGACUAGGAAUUAUGAAAGAUUGUGGAUUGUCUUGCAAAGAGAGUGAGGGAAAGCUAUUAGGAUUUGGGACUUGGGAUUUGGUAAAACUGGGUUUAUCAAAGUGAUGCGGAGCCUGUGAGAAAACUGGAGAGAGAGAGAGAGAGAG
rnacentral:misc_RNA from 1 species